AAUGAACGCUGGCGGCGCGCCUAAUACAUGCAAGUCGAGCGAGAAGACGUAGCAAUACGUUUGUAAAGCGGCGAACGGGUGAGGAAUACAUGGGUAACCUACCCUAGAGUGGGGAAUAACUAGCCGAAAGGUUAGCUAAUACCGCGUACGCUCCUUGGACUUCGGUUCAGGAGGAAAGCGAUGCCGAGGGUAUCGCGCUCUUGGAUGGGCUCAUGUCCUAUCAGCUUGUUGGGAGGUAACGGCUCACCAAGGCUUCGACGGGUAGCUGGUCUGAGAGGACGAUCAGCCACACUGGCACUGCGACACGGGCCAGACUCCUACGGGAGGCAGCAGUAAGGAAUAUUGCGCAAUGGGCGAAAGCCUGACGCAGCGACGCCGCGUGGGGGA
rnacentral:rRNA from 1 species